UACGGAGGGGGCUAGCGUUGUUCGGAAUUACUGGGCGUAAAGCGCACGUAGGCGGAUCGUUAAGUCGGGGGUGAAAUCCUGGAGCUCAACUCCAGAACUGCCUUCGAUACUGGCGAUCUUGAGUCCGGAAGAGGUGAGUGGAACUCCGAGUGUAGAGGUGAAAUUCGUAGAUAUUCGGAAGAACACCAGUGGCGAAGGCGGCUCACUGGUCCGGUACUGACGCUGAUGUGCGAAAGCGUGGGGAGCAAACAGG
rnacentral:rRNA from 1 species